rnacentral:tRNA from 1 species
GACCAGUAAAAGAAUUGAUUUGAAAUCAACUAAUUAAACGCGUGGCCCGUGUUUGCUGGUUU